rnacentral:tRNA from 1 species
AUUUAUAUAGUUUAAAAAAUAUUACAUUUUCACUGUAAAGUUAGAAUUCUUUUCUUAUAAAUA